UACGUAGGGGGCUAGCGUUAUCCGGAAUUACUGGGCGUAAAGGGUGCGUAGGUGGUUUCUUAAGUCAGAGGUGAAAGGCUACGGCUCAACCGUAGUAAGCCUUUGAAACUGGGAAACUUGAGUGCAGGAGAGGAGAGUGGAAUUCCUAGUGUAGCGGUGAAAUGCGUAGAUAUUAGGAGGAACACCAGUUGCGAAGGCGGCUCUGUGGACUGUAACUGACACUGAGGCACGAAAGCGUGGGGAGCAAACAGG
rnacentral:rRNA from 1 species